ACAGUCCGGGACAUUUCUAUUUGGACAUAAAAAAUUUGAAUUUUCUGACAUUUAUACGUGUAUUCAGCGUCUGUGUGAACAAAAAAUGUUCUCUCUCUCAUUCUAUGGUUCUUGAGCUUUAAUAACAGGGACAUUUUUUAAAUUGGUAGCAUUAGAAAAUGACAGUAAACAGCUGACUGAUGUAAACAAUAACACAAUAACAAAGGAAAUGUUAUAAUUUUAAUCUAUAUAACCAGUGGCUGCUUUAAAAGUGUGUACUAACGGGAUAAUAACAUAUUUACGCAAGUAUUUUUGAAGGCAGAAACAUUACUUGUCAUAUAACAACUACUCAGAUUAUAUGAUGAGACGGGAAUGGCACAAUACAGAAUUGCAGUCAGUGAUUGUGAUGGAGAAAGCUGCUGUGAAGUACUGACAGUACUGACUAUCGCUGGUUGUACGAUUUGUGCAAUUUGUGAUAUAUUUUGUGUGAAAAACUGGAAAAGAAAGUGCAUCACUGCAUAACCUCACUUAUCGCAGUUUUGCACUUUUUGAUGAUGGGAAUUGCGGUUCAAGUAAUUAUGAGUUAUAGAUGGAGAGCCCUGUUUACUUCAAACUGAAGCCUUUUGGGUCCACUUUGUUCGUUAUUUCCUGGCAGCCACUCUUGUUUCAAGCAGAGUGGGUGUAAAGUUAAAAAUAAUCCCGUAAAAUUGUUAAUAUAACUCCUUUGCACUGGCAUGGGGUAUUUGAAAACUUACGUUUAACAAAUACGUCACAAAGUCUCAGCCAUCGUUGAAAAACAUAAUAAGGGCUUUAUAACAAGAAGCGCUUUCUGAUUUUACUGUGGACGUGUGGAAGAAUAGUGUGAAAUAUUGCGAAAAACCAACUUUUACUCUUGUUUACAUUUUUGUACGUCUCUAUCUGAGAGUAGUCUCUUGUAUAAAAAAUAUAGCCUACUAAUAAAGGAAAUUAAAGUGU